rnacentral:rRNA from 1 species
AUUGAACGCUGGCGGCAGGCUUAACACAUGCAAGUCGAGCGGGGUGAUGGUGCUUGCACUAUCACUUAGCGGCGGACGGGUGAGUAAUGCUUAGGAAUCUGCCUAUUAGUGGGGGACAACAUCUCGAAAGGGAUGCUAAUACCGCAUACGUCCUACGGGAGAAAGCAGGGGAUCACUUGUGACCUUGCGCUAAUAGAUGAGCCUAAGUCGGAUUAGCUAGUUGGUGGGGUAAAGGCCUACCAAGGCGACGAUCUGUAGCGGGUCUGAGAGGAUGAUCCGCCACACGGGGACUGGGACACGGCCCAGACUCCUACGGGAGGCAGCAGUGGGGAAUAUUGGACAAGGGGGGGAACCCUGAUCCAGCCAUGCCGCGUGUGUGAAGAAGGCCUUAUGGUUGUAAAGCACUUUAAGCGAGGAGGAGGCUCUUUUGGUUAAUACCCAAGAUGAGUGGACGUUGCUCGCAGAAGAAGCACCGGCUAACUCCGUGCCAGCAGCCGCCGUAA